rnacentral:rRNA from 1 species
AGUAGUCAUACGCUCGUCUCAAAGAUUAAGCCAUGCAUGUGUAAGUCUAAAUAGUUUUAGUGCGAAACUGCGAAUGGCUCAUUAUAUCAGUUAUAGUUUAUUUGGAAUAGUUUCUAUAUGGAUAACCGUAGUAAUUCUAGGGCUAAUACAUGUGUUUUCUUUGAUGGGCAACCAUUAAAGAAGUACUUAUUAGACAUAAAACCAAUUUAAUGUUGUUGUGAGUAAUAAUAAUUGUUGACUUUAUCGCAUGCUUGUUAGUAGCGAUGUUCCGUUCAAGUUUCUGCCCUAUCAGCUUUCGAUGGUAGUGUAUUGGACUACCAUGGCAGUAACGGGUAACG